CAUUUGGUCACCUUCUUCAGUACAAGUGGAUAGAUUACCAUGUACUUCGCUAAAAGACCAUUAUGCGAGAAAAGGCAUCCUACAUCUCAAAAAGCAGCUCAGCCGUCUACACUCAUGAAUGUAUUACGACAAUAAACACUAUCAUUACCUUUAAAGAUUGACAGAAACAGUUACAAAUAUGUUGUCUUGUAUACAUUGAACAAAGCGUCUGCCGUCAGUUCUCAGUGACUUUUCUCUCUAAACACUUUGUACACUGCUUUUAUACACAAAAAAGCAACAACAAAAAAUUGUACAUAAAACUGACAGAAGACGCUUUGUACGGAGAAAAGUACUCAUUUUGCUGUUUUCGACGCACUUAUAUUAUGAAACCCGCCAAAUAAGAAGUGAUUAAAAAGCAAUAAUUACACUUGA